rnacentral:rRNA from 1 species
UACAGAGGUCUCGAGCGUUGUUCGGAUUCAUUGGGCGUAAAGGGUGCGUAGGCGGCGGGGUAAGUCUGAUGUGAAAUUCCAGGGCUCAACCUUGGGACUGCAUUGGAUACUGCCUUGCUAGAGAACUGGAGAGGAGACUGGAAUUUACGGUGUAGCAGUGAAAUGCGUAGAGAUCGUAAGGAAGACCAGUGGCGAAGGCGAGUUUCUGGACGGUAACUGACGCUGAGGCACGAAGGCCAGGGGAGCAAACGGG